AGGGUGUAAACGCUGCGGGCUUGGUGUUGGGGGUCCUUUGAGGGCGCCCAGUGCCGGAGAGAAGUUGUUAAGCCUGCUGCUUGGGGAGUACGUCCGCAAGGAUGAAACUUAAAGGAAUUGGCGGGGGAGCACCACAACGGGUGGAGCUUGCGGUUUAAUUGGGUUCAACGCCGGAAAUCUUACCGGGACCGACAGCAACAUGAAGGCCAGGCUGAAGACUUUGCCGGAUUAGCUGAGAGGAGGUGCAUGGCGUAGUCGUGU
rnacentral:rRNA from 1 species